AGGUAAUGUCUACUGCACCUAUAUCACUGUAGGCACUCGGUCAUGCUGUGGGCGGUGCGCCGCCUUAGACGUAUAUCGUCGAGGGUGUGAUGUGAGGAGGGGUUAGAUGCCCU
rfam:Paenibacillus naphthalenovorans strain 32O-Y, complete genome.